GCGGCUUUGGCUCAGUCGGUAGAGCGCGAGUCUCAUAAUCUCGAGGUCGUGAGUUCGAGCCUCACAAGCCGCA
rfam:Stentor coeruleus isolate WM001 SteCoe_contig_20, whole genome shotgun sequence.